rfam:Salmo salar isolate Sally breed double haploid chromosome ssa04, whole genome shotgun sequence.
UGCAUUCAUUACCGUAAGUUGCUCUGGAUAAGAGCGUCUGCUAAAUGACUAGAG